rnacentral:rRNA from 1 species
AUUGAACGCUGGCGGCAGGCCUAACACAUGCAAGUCGAGCGGAGCGGCGGACGGGUGAGUAAUACCUAGGAAUCUGCCUGGUAGUGGGGGAUAACGUCCGGAAACGGGCGCUAAUAUCGCAUACUAUCAGAUGAGCCUAGGUCGGAUUAGCUAGUGGGGGGGGUAAAGGCCUUCCAGGGCGACGAUCCUUAACGGGUCGGAGAGGAGGAUCAGUCACACGGGAACUGGGACACGGCCAAGACUCCUACGGGAGGCAGAAGGGGGGAAUAGUGGACAAUGGGCGAAAGCCUGAUCCAGCCAUGCCGCGUGUGUGAAGAAGGUCUUCGGAUUGUAAAGCCCUUUAAGUUGGGAGGCGUUACCAACAGAAUAAGCACCGGCUAACUUCGUGCCAGCCGCCGCGGUAAUUC